AAUGAACGUUGGCGGCGUGGAUUAGGCAUGCAAGUCGCGCGAGAACUGUAGCAAUACAGGGAAAGCGGCGUAAGGGACAGUAAUACCUAGAAACGUACCCCCGGGUCUGGGAUAGCGGCGGGAAACUGCCGGUAAUACCAGAUAACGUCUCCGGACCAAAGGUGUGAUUCCACCUGGGGAGCGGUCUAGGCCCUAUUAGCUUGUUGGUGGGGUAACGGCCUACCAAGGCAAAGAUGGGUAGCAGGUGUGAGAGCACGACCUGCGUCACUGGGACUGAGACACGGCCCAGACACCUACGGGUGGCUGCAGUCGAGAAUCUUCGGCAAUGGGCGCAAGCCUGACCGAGCGACGCCGCGUGCGGGAUGAAGGCCUUCGGGUUGUAAACCGCUGUCGAAGGGGAUGAAAUUCCGGUGGGUUCUCUUGCCGGAUUGACAGAUCCUUGGAGGAAGGACGGGCUAAGUUCGUGCCAGCCGCCGCUGUAACAC
rnacentral:rRNA from 1 species